GAUACGCGAGGANCCUUACCCUGGGCUUAAAUGUAUUAGGACAGUACUGGAAACGGUAUUUCCNUUCGGGGUCUUUUACAAGGUGCUGCAUGGUUGUCGUCAGCUCGUGCCGUGAGGUGUCGGGUUAAGUCCCAUAACGAGCGCAACCCUUACCGUUAGUUGCUAACAGGUCAAGCUGAGGACUCUGGCGGGACUGCCACCGUAAGGUGAGAGGAAGGUGGGGAUGACGUCAAAUCAGCACGGCCCUUAUGUCCAGGGCUACACACGUGUUACAAUGGCCGGUACAAAGGGCAGCUACCUGGUGACAGGAUGCUAAUCUCUAAAGCCGGUCCCAGUUCGGAUCGAAGUCUGCAACCCGACUUCGUGAAGCUGGAUUCGCUAGUAAUCGCGCAUCAGCCAUGGCGCGGUGAAUACGUUCCCGGGCCUUGUACACACCGCCCGUCAAACCAUGGAAGCAUGGGGGUGCCUNAAG
rnacentral:rRNA from 1 species